ensembl:rRNA 5S_rRNA 5S ribosomal RNA
UAUGGCCAUACCACCCUGAACACUCUCAGUGUCAUCUGAUCUCAGAAGUUAAGCAGGAUUGGGCCUGGUUAGUACUUGGAUGGGAGAAAAAUUGGUUAGAGAAAUCCAUGUGUGCCAAGA